CUGCUGCUUCAUGUUUUUGUUGAAGGAGUUAUUGGAGAUGUAGCACUGUGAUUAUGCUCUUGACUACUGGGGAUCAGGGACCAAAGUCACUGUAAAGCCAGGUGAUUCCUCUCAGACUCUGUCCCUCUUCGUCCUCCGCCCCCAGCAGACGUCUGGUGACCCCCUGAACUCAGCGGACCAACUCAGUCAAGAAGUCUGUCUGGCAACAGAUUUCCGUCCAAAGGAGGUUGUGGAUGGGAAAGGGGGUCCGGCCAACGUGAGCACGGAUGAUGCUGCUCUGCCAAAGAACCAAAACCACUUUGAUGAAUUCAAUAACAAAAACAUCCACUCCUGUGGGAUGAACGGGAACAUCAGCAACAAUGAUGAAUGUGGAGACUUUGAUCCAGAAAAAGCCAAGCUGAACUUCUACCUGCUGCUGAUGAACGGAGUCCGAGUGGUGUUCACCAAAGCUCUGGCCUUCAGCACCGUCCUCACCAUCAGAGGCCUGCUCUUCUGAAACUGAGCCUUCAAGGCCACCAUACUGGCCAUGACAAAACCUGUCGAAUAAUUGUUUCUAUUAGCUCAUUGGAACACAUUUACUCCAUUUAUUUUACCAAAUUGUUUACGGGUUUUUGUCAUGAGUAAAAGAAAAGGCAGCAGCCUGUAAAAUCCUGAAUAUUAAAUGUAAACAGUUUUAUUACUAAUAGAUACAGAUCUGAAGCUAUCACAGAGAAAACAUGAAAAAAAUUAAACCCAGAUAAAAGUUACAAUUCAUAAAGUUGUCUUUAGUUACCAAAUUUGACAACAAUAAAGGAGAAAUGGCCUCAUAACUGAAAAAAUUAACUUCCUGUUGAUCUUCUAAUUUUUCUUACAUUCUCAAUAAUGUUUCCUAUCAAUUUUUUAUGCUUUACUAUGUAUACACUGGUUUUCAAUUAAAACAUGUAUUUCAAAUUAUAUUCUAAGUAAAAAAAAUGUUUCAAGACACAUUUUGAAUUAAAAAAUGUAAAUAAAAUUCAAAUGGAUCUGAAUAUCAGAUAAGAACAAUCAUAUUUAUGCAAAUAAAUGCGAAUAUCUACAACAUAUUUAGAAAAACAGAAAAGAUCUAUUAAGAUAGUUUACAAAAUAUCCCCACUGAAACAAUUUUAUUUGCUUCUGCUUCAUUGUUCUAUAUUGUAAUGAAUAAAAAUGAAAAUGAAUAAUAGGUAGGUUUGUUCAUUUAAGUUAUGGAUAAGUUGCAUGGAAAUAUUUAUUCACUAAAUGUCUUUUUUUCAAAAAUUAAGAGCUGCAAAUAAAAUAUUCCAGAUUUAUCACUUUAUCAGUCAGAAAUGUAUGUUUGCUUUUGUGUAUUCAGAUGUUUUUAUUUAAUAUUUCAAACUUACUGAAGCUUCUCAAGCAAGUAAAGUCCAAACUUAACUUGGACUGUGUAAAGUUUUCAAACUUUACUCAGUCUUUCACCCCUCACUCCUCCACUCAGGUAAUUUUCAGCACAAAUUACAUGUUUUAAUAGUAAACUUGAUGAAUCAGAGACUGCAUCUUAAACCUCACCUCAGCUUUUAGCACAGCAGUUUCAUCAGUUGAAGCCACGUCUCAACAGGAAGCUGAAAAUCUGACAGAAACCAAACAGCAGCUCAGUUUCACAGGGACAGAAAACACUCUGGUUAACCUCAGCGCCGCUCCUUUCUUCUCUUCUCAGAACCUACAGAAUCUUUUCACAUCUGUUGAUUUAAGUCGUUGCAGAUUUUCAUGGUUACACCCGUCUUUAAAACAAAUACAAUUAAUUGUUCUGCUACAAUCUUUGUUUCCAGUCUUAAAUCGUCUAGAGUACUUUUUUCUUUUCUUUGUAGAUUUUCUCUAAGAAUUCAUGUCGGUGACAAUUACCAAUGUUUACCUGCAGGCUUGCUAGAUGGUAAAAAAAAAAAAAAAAAAAAAAAACAGCAGUUCUGAAAUGAUGAAUGUUCUAAAAAUAUUCAUUACAUAGAAACUUUAUUUUCCUCAGUUGGGAACCUUUCAUGGAUAAAACAGCACAUGAAUUAUGACUAAAUGAAGUGAAGUAAACAUUAGUUUGGAACUCUGCUUUUAUACUUAACAUUACUUUUCUUCAGCACCUUAAAUAAAUAACUAAAUGAGAUAAACAUUUGGAUUUUUGAGGACAUUUCAGUGUUUUCUGUCUUGUGAAAGAAAAUGAGGUUUAUCACAUC